rnacentral:rRNA from 1 species
GUCUUGUAAUUGGAAUGAUGGUGACCUAAACCCUCACCAGAGUAACAAUUGGAGGGCAAGUCUGGUGCCAGCAGCCGCGGUAAUUCCAGCUCCAAUAGCGUAUAUUAAACUUGUUGCAGUUAAAAAGCUCGUAGUUGAAUUUUUGCGUGGUGUUAAUAUUGACUGAUGUCGAGAUUGCACUUCGCUUUUGGGAUUUAUCCCUUUUUACUUUGAGAAAAUUAGAGUGUUUCAAGCAGACUUUUGUCUUGAAUACUUCAGCAUGGAAUAAUAGAGUAGGACUUUGGUUCUAUUUUGUUGGUUUGUGAACCUUAGUAAUGGUUAAUAGGAACGGUUGGGGGCAUUCGUAUUUAACUGUCAGAGGUGAAAUUCUUAGAUUUGCUAAAGACGAACUACUGCGAAAGCAUUUGCCAAGGACGUUUUCAUUAAUCAAGAACGAAAGUUAGGGGAUCGAAGACGAUCAGAUACCGUCGUAGUCCUAACCAUAAACUA